AUCUCCGAAACAGUCAAAGAAAUGAAAAGAAAAAUAAGCCCCAAAAAAAGAAAAAUCAAUUUAUAUGGGAAAAGAUCUUACCUUUCCAUUUUUUCCCAUUGUUCCUUCAUUUUUGUUGAUUUCUUCUAUGUUCCCCCAAGUGCUUCCUAUGUUUUUUCCAAGAGUAUCAAUCGGGUGGGAGGCUUGGAGCAGCUGAAUAGAAAAAUUUAGAUAAUGAAAAAUAUCUUAAAAGAGGAAUAUAAAGAGACAAAAAAAAGGAAAAAAGAGCAGGAA
rnacentral:lncRNA from 1 species